rnacentral:rRNA from 1 species
UCCAGACUCCUACGGGAGGCAGCAGUGGGGGAUAUUGGACAAUGGGGGAAACCCUGAUCCAGCGACGCCGCGUGAGUGAAGAAGUAUUUCGGUAUGUAAAGCUCUAUCAGCAGGGAAGAAGAUGACGGUACCUGAGUAAGAAGCCCCGGCUAACUACGUGCCAGCAGCCGCGGUAAUACGUAGGGGGCAAGCGUUAUCCGGAUUUACUGGGUGUAAAGGGAGCGUAGACGAUGAGACAAGUCUGAAGUGAAAGCCCGGGGCUCAACCCCGGGACUGCUUUGGAAACUGCCUGACUGGAGUGCUGGAGAGGCAAGCGGAAUUCCUAGUGUAGCGGUGAAAUGCGUAGAUAUUAGGGAGAACACCAGUGGCGAAGGCGGCUUGCUGGACAGUAACUGACGUUGAGGCUCGAAAGCGUGGGGAGCAAACAGGAUUAGAUACCCCGGUA